CAGGAAAAAAACAGGUCAUGCCUAAAACUGAAAACUUAAGAAGCAGCAACGGAAGCAUGUGAUUUAAAAACAUAUGGUAGGGGCUGGGCGUGGUGGCUCAGGCCUGUAAUCCCAACACUUUGGGAAGCCAAGGCAGGUGGAUCACCUGAGGUCAGGAGUUCGAGACCAGCCUGACCAACAUGGUGAAACUCUGUCUCUACUAAAAAAAUACAAAAUUAGCCGGGUGUGGUGGUGCACACCUGUAAUCGCAGCUACUUGGGAGUCUGAGGCAGGAGAAUUGCUUAAAUCCGGAAGGCAGAGGUUGCAAUGAGCUGAGAUCAUGCCAUUGCACUCCAGCCUGGGCAACAAGAGCAAGACUCCAUUUGAAAAAAAAAAAAAGAAAUCUGUACUUGUACACCCUGAGAACAUAAAAAUUAAAAAAACAAAAAUAAAAUAUACUUGACUGUUGUUUAACAACUUAAAAAAAAUGUAUGGUAGGCCAGGCUUGGUAGGCCACGCCUGUAAUCCCAGCACUUUGGGAGGCCAAGGCGGGCAGAUCACGAGGUCAAGAGAGCGAGACCAUCCUGGCCAACAUGGUCAAACCCUGCUUCUACUAAAAAUACAAAAAUUAGCUGGGCAUGGUGGUGUGUGCCUGUAAUCCCAGCUACUAGGGAGGCUGAGGCAGGAGAAUCUCUUGAACCCGGGAGACAGAGGUUGCAGUGAGCCGAGAUCNNNNNACUGCACUCCAGUCGGCCUCCCAAAGUGCUGGGAUUACAGGCGUGAGCCACCGCGCCCGGCCUUUCAGCCUAUAAUUUUUAAUAAGGAUAUCCCUAGGGUUUUUUUUAAAGCCCUUCUACUGGAUGCACAUGCAGAUUAUUUCCAAUGCUUUGUACUGUGGCCAGUGUCUUUUGAGUGCCUCCUGUGCACCUUUGUGAUGUUCUCUAGUUGUCCUCUAGGGGACAUCUGAAGAAAGACAUGGCAAUGGAGAGUACCAGCAUCUAGAGAAAGACGUGGUAAUGCUGGGUACACGCAGGUAAACGGUCUAUAGAUAUCACCAAAAAUGCCCUUCUAAGUGGUGGACAGUUUACACUCCCACCGGCAAUAAUGAAGGACACCUAUUUUCCCACAGCCUUAACGCUGACUCCUACUUCUACUGUUACCUGCGGGUAAGUCUGCAGCUAUCCGGGAAACUCCGGAGUUGCAACUCUGCAGCAACCUCUCUCCUCUGUUUUCUCGAGGGCAAGAAUUCAAACGAGAUAAAGGCAAGAUUUUUGCUUUUUCUCAAGACGGAAUCUUGCUCUGUUGCCCAGGCUGGAAUGCAAUGGCGCGAUCUCGACUCACUGCAA
rnacentral:lncRNA from 1 species